rnacentral:rRNA from 1 species
CCAAUAGCGUAUAUUAAAGUUGUUGUGGUUAAAAAGCUCGUAGUUGAACCUUGGGCCUGGCUGGCCGGUCCGCCUCACCGCGUGUACUGGUCCGGCCGGGCCUUUCCCGCUGUGGAACCUCAUGCCCUUCACUGGGUGUGACGGGGAAGCAGGACUUUUACUGUGAAAAAAUUAGAGUGUUCCAAGCAGGCCUAUGCUCGAAUACAUUAGCAUGGAAUAAUAAAAUAGGACGGGCGGUUCUAUUUUGUUGGUUUCUAGGACCGCCGUAAUGAUUAAUGGGGACAGUCGGGGGCAUCAGUAUUCAAUUGUCAGAGGUGAAAUUCUUGGAUUUAUUGAAGACUAACUACUGCGAAAGCAUUUGCCAAGGAUGUUUUCAUUAAUCAGGAACGAAAGUUAGGGGAUCGAAGACGAUCAGAUACCGUCGUAGUCUUAACCAUAAACUAUGCCGACUAGGGAUCGGACGAUGUUAUUUUUUGACUCGUUCGGCACCUUACG